ACGAAGGGUGCAAGCGUUACUCGGAAUUACUGGGCGUAAAGCGUGCGUAGGUGGUUCGUUAAGUCUGAUGUGAAAGCCCUGGGCUCAACCUGGGAAUGGCAUUGGAUACUGGCGACCUAGAGUGCGGUAGAGGGUGGCGGAAUUCCCGGUGUAGUGGUGGAAUGCGUAGAGAUCGGGAGGAACACCAGUGGCGAAGGCGGCUCGCUGGGCCGGUCCUGACGCUCAGGCGCGAAAGCGUGGGGAGCGAUCCGGA
rnacentral:rRNA from 1 species